rnacentral:rRNA from 1 species
UACGUAGGGUGCAAGCGUUGUCCGGAAUUAUUGGGCGUAAAGAGCUCGUAGGCGGUUUGUCACGUCGGCCGUGAAAACUCGGGGCUCAACCCCGAGCCUGCGGUCGAUACGGGCAGACUAGAGUGCUGUAGGGGAGACUGGAAUUCCUGGUGUAGCGGUGAAAAUGCGCAGAUAUCAGGAGGAACACCGGUGGCGAAGGCGGGUCUCUGGGCAGUAACUGACGCUGAGGAGCGAAAGCGUGGGGAGCGAACAGG